rnacentral:rRNA from 1 species
GAUGAACGCUGGCGGCGUGCCUAAUACAUGCAAGUCGAGCGAAUGGAUUAAGAGCUUGCUCUUAUGAAGUUAGCGGCGGACGGGUGGGUAACACGUGGGUAACCUGCCCAUAAGACUGGGAUAACUCCGGGGAACCGGGGCUAAUACCGGAUAACAUUUUGAACCGCAUGGUUCGAAAUUGAAAGGCGGCUUCGGCUGUCACUUAUGGAUGGACCCGCGUCGCAUUAGCUAGUUGGUGAGGUAACGGCUCACCAAGGCAACGAUGCGUAGCCGACCUGAGAGGGUGAUCGGCCACGCUGGGACUGAGACACGGCCCAGACUCCUACGGGAGGCAGCAGUAGGGAAUCUUCCGCAAUGGACGAAAGUCUGACGGAGCAACGCCGCGUGAGUGAUGAAGGCUUUCGGGUCGUAAAACUCUGUUGUUAGGGAAGAACAAGUGCUAGUUGAAUAAGCUGGCACCUUGACGGUACCUAACCAGAAAGCCACGGCUAACUACGUGCCAGCCGCCGCGGUAA